rnacentral:rRNA from 1 species
GACGGAAGGUGCAAACGUUGUUCGGUGUCACUGGGCGUAAAGGGUGUGUAGGCGGCCGAAUAUGUCAGGAGUGAAAGCCCCCGGCUUAACCGGGGAAUUGCUUCUGAAACUGGUCGGCUCGAGGACCGGAGAGGAGAGCGGAACGACUGGUGUAGCGGUGGUAUGCGUUGAUAUCAGUCGGAACGCCAGCGGUGAAGACGGCUCUCUGGACGGUUCCUGACGCUGAGACACGAAAGCCAGGGGAGCGAACGGGAUUAGAUACCCUAGUA